rnacentral:lncRNA from 1 species
UUGUUCACAAACUGAUCGCGAGUGUUUCACGUGGAGGCGAAUUUUGCACGAAUCGAAGUUCGAGUAAUCGAAAAUGCAGUGCGUGAUUAGCUUCUUGACCAAUCGAAUAGUCCGAGUGAAAUUCUUACCCAAAACCAUCAAAGACUUCAGUCCUUUCUUGAAAACUCCAUACCGUGGCCGCUUCGAACCAGCGCCGGUCCGUACCGCAGCGAGACGUCGGAGCGAAUGAGCAGCUCCUCGAGUUCAGCUUUUUCCUCCAGAGGCCUCAACUACUCUGUUUCAAUAAUGCAACGCGAGAUCCAAGAGACAAUUGCAAAAGUUCGGUAGGACGAUGACGAUAAUGAAAAAGCAGUCAAACGUUCCGCAUGGUUUCAACCUGAGAAUAAUUUGAUGAUGUUGAAUGCACGUAUACAAUUCGACGAUUGGAUCUAAAGACGAUUCUUCCGAAAUCGAACGACAAACACAUUCGAGUUUGAGGUCAUACAGCGCGAAGUCAUUGGAGAUAAAAUUAAAUCCGUUAGUGUCACGAACGUCGUCCCGACACCAUUCCAAACGUUGUUUCAGAAGAUCCAACUGUGCACCGACGUGUAUGAGAAAGACGGUGAAAAAAAUAUCGUGAAAAGCUGUGCAGCCAGCCAAAUAGGAAAUAGUUAUUUUGUCAGUUACGAACAUGAGCCAAUACGACGGAGUACCAUUUGCAUUAAAAACCCACAGAGGACUGUAGCAUUGUUCAUUGGAUCGUAGUCAAGCAAAAAAGUGUA